AGAGUUUGAUCAUGGCUCAGAUUGAACGCUGGCGGCAGGCCUAACACAUGCAAGUCGAGCGCGAAAACACUUCGGUGUGAGUAGAGCGGCGGACGGGUGAGUAAUGCUUGGGAAUCUGCCCAGUAGUGGGGGAUAACGUGUGGAAACGCACGCUAAUACCGCAUACGUCCUACGGGAGAAAGCAGGGGAUCUUCGGACCUUGCGCUAUUGGAUGAGCCCAAGUCAGAUUAGCUAGUUGGUGAGGUAAUGGCUCACCAAGGCGACGAUCUGUAGCUGGUCUGAGAGGAUGAUCAGCCACACUGGGACUGAGACACGGCCCAGACUCCUACGGGAGGCAGCAGUGGGGAAUAUUGCACAAUGGGCGAAAGCCUGAUGCAGCCAUGCCGCGUGUGUGAAGAAGGCUCUAGGGUUGUAAAGCACUUUCAGUGGGGAGG
rnacentral:rRNA from 1 species